rnacentral:tRNA from 1 species
GCGACCGUAGCUCAACUGGUGAGAGCGCCGAAGUACCGUUCUGGAGGUCGCUGGUUCAAGUCCUACCAGCCAUC